AUUGAACGCUGGCGGCAUGCCUUACACAUGCAAGUCGAACGGCAGCACGGGGCAACCUGGUGGCGAGUGGCGAACGGGUGAGUAAUGCAUCGGAACGUACCUUUCAGUGGGGGAUAACGUAGCGAAAGUUACGCUAAUACCGCAUAUUCUGUGAGCAGGAAAGCAGGGGAGCGCAAGACCUUGCGCUGAUUGAGCGGCCGAUGUCAGAUUAGCUAGUUGGUGAGGUAAAGGCUCACCAAGGCGACGAUCUGUAGCGGGUCUGAGAGGAUGAUCCGCCACACUGGAACUGAGACACGGUCCAGACUCCUACGGGAGGCAGCAGUGGGGAAUUUUGGACAAUGGGGGCAACCCUGGUCCAGCCAUGCCGCGUGAGUGAAGAAGGCCUUCGGGUUGUAAAGCUCUUUCGGCCGGGAAGAAAUCGCACGGGCUAAUACCCUGUGUGGAUGACGGUACCGGAAUAAGAAGCACCGGCUAACUACGUGCCAGCAGCCGCCGUAAGAC
rnacentral:rRNA from 1 species